rnacentral:tRNA from 8 species
CAUUUAUAAAGAUUAAUCUUUUUUUAGAAAUU